GAGGAGGAAAGGUGACAUAAAAUAAGGACAGGCAUAAGAAAUGAGGGGUUCGUUUCGUGUGGAAUGAAAGGAAGAGAUAGAAAACUGUGUUUCUGUUGUUGAGAGGGUGAGAAUUGGGAGGCAAAUGAAGAGGGAAUGAGAGAUUUAUAAUUCCUGGUGAUCUUGGUUGGGGUAAAGAAAAGGAAAAGAUAAAUUAGUCGUCAACGCUCAUGCAGGGAGAGGUCAGUUAGUGGAGGGAGGCGCAUUGGCAUUGCUCACCCAUGCCUUUCUGCUUUAUUGAUUUCUUUCUACUUCUCGAAGCCUAAUGUUACUGUCUAAUAAAGUCACAUAGAAAAUCC
rnacentral:lncRNA from 1 species